GGCAGAGUAGUUAUCAAAGAUAGUCUUGGUUUCACCCAUUUUUCCUGAACUACUUGGCAACUGCACAAUCCUCCACUUUGCUUCAGUUGUCUACCCUUGGCCUUUGAGUAUUAAAGCAGGCAGAUGGAGAAUGAGCCAUUCUCUCGUGGUUGUGAUAAGGGGUCUGGAUCGGAGGGUACCUAAUAUAUGAACAGGACAUGUGCGCAAUUGUGUACUGUACCUUCUGCCAAUGAUGAAGCCAAAAACCAUGAAGACCAGUAUGAUUGUUCCGGCCACAGCAACCACAGCUAUGAUAAUGACAGGGUUCUGUUCACUGGAGACUGCAGUGGCUGCAAACAGAGAAGACCCACAGAACAACUCAGCAUGCGAUGAAGGCACUAGAAAGGUUAAAUCAACUCUAAAGGAGUACAAGGAAAGAGUUGCUUUGGUCCAAGCAAAGAAAGGGUGCUGUCGGAAGGGUGCUGCCAGAUGGGUCUAUGUAACAAAUACACUUGCGGCUACCUGUGAAACCAAAAGAGCUUAUUCAAAGACCCAGAUCUGUUGGCCUGGAGUACAUGUGUAGGACAUCUGUGGUAUUUGAUGGCAGAACUGGAUGGGACGGUAAUUACUUUUUGCAAAUUGCAAUUGAUUUCUGUCUUUUAAGAAAUAUGAAACGUGCAUAAA